GACGAACGCUGGCGGCGUGCUUAACACAUGCAAGUCGAGCGGUAAGGCUCCUUCGGGAGUACACGAGCGGCGAACGGGUGAGUAACACGUGAGCAAUCUGCCCUUCACUUCGGGAUAACUUCGAGAAAUCGGAGCUAAUACCGAAUGCGACCACUUCAGGCAUCUGAUGGUGGUGGAAAGUUCCGGCGGUGAAGGAUGAGCUCGCGGCCUAUCAGCUUGUUGGUGGGGUAAUGGCCCACCAAGGCUUCGACGGGUAGCCGGCCUGAGAGGGUGACCGGCCACACUGGGACUGAGACACGGCCCAGACUCCUACGGGAGGCAGCAGUGGGGAAUAUUGGACAAUGGGCGAAAGCCUGAUCCAGCAACGCCGCGUGAGGGAUGACGG
rnacentral:rRNA from 1 species